UUGAGUCUCCUGAAGGAACGUUGAAGACGACGACGUUGAUAGGUCGGGUGUGUAAGCGCAGCGAUGCGUUGAGCUAACCGAUACUAAUGAACCGUGAGGCUUAACCUUACAACGCCGAAGGUGUUU
rnacentral:rRNA from 1 species